rnacentral:rRNA from 1 species
UACGAAGGGGGCUAGCGUUGUUCGGAAUAACUGGGCGUAAAGGGCGCGUAGGCGGUUAGAUACGUCUGAUGUGAAAGUCCUGGGCUUAACCUAGGGACUGCAUUGGAUACGGUUUAGCUUGAGUGCGAGAGGGGAAAAUGGAAUUGCGCGUGUAGAGGUGAAAUUCGUAGAGAUGCGCAAGAACACCAGUGGCGAAGGCGAUUUUCUGGCUCGCAACUGACGCUGAGGCGCGAAAGCGUGGGGAGCAAACAGGAUUAGAUACCCUGGUAGUCCACGCCCUAAACGAUGCAUGCUAGAUGUCGGUCUGUCACAGGAUCGGUGUCGUCGCAAACGCAGUAAGCAUGCCGCCUGGGGAGUACGGUCGCAAGAUUA